rnacentral:rRNA from 1 species
CUGCUGCCUUCCGUAGGAGUUUGGGCCGUGUCUCAGUCCCAAUGUGGCCGUCCACCCUCUCAGGCCGGCUACUGAUCGUCGCCUUGGUGGGCCUUUACCCCGCCAACCAGCUAAUCAGACGCGGGUCCAUCCCAUACCACCUUGGUUUUCAAACAAAAAGCAUGCGCUUUCUGUUGUUAUGCGGUAUUAGCACCUAUUUCUAAGUGUUAUCCCCUGUAUGGGCCAGGUUACCCACGCGUUACUCACCCGUCCGCCACUAAGCCUUCCCUUUUCCG